CGGCAGAACCUGGGAAGACGAAGAAAAAUGAAAAGACGAAGUGGGAUUCAAACGAAGAAGAAAGAACUUGAGAAGACGAACCUGGGAUUCAAGAGAGCAAGAGUGAGUCUGAAGAGGAAUGAGAAAGCGACAAAUUUCAGCCUGACUAAAUUGUACCGUGGUUUUGGACGGUAUAAGCAAGCGGGUAAAGACAGGAUAAAAAAGGUGGGCCUAGGUUAUUUAAUCCGGUGGCUAUUUAAUCCAAACAGACACCAAACAUCGUAUUUCGUAUUAUUAGUACUAUCCGGUAUCUUAUAUGGUGUGCCAAAUAGGGCAUAAAUGUUAGUACCAAAAUGUAUUAUAUUGAACUAAUGUAUUUAAAUGUUAAUACCGAAAUGUAUGUAUUGAAUUAUAUGCACCGAAAUGUAUUAUAUUAAAUUAAUGUACCUAAAUGUGGGUACUGAAAUGUAUGCACCGAAAUGUAUUCAUACUGGUUGGUUGUAGAGCUGUAAUAUCUACAUAUCCUUUUUACCUCCCACACAUUCCCCUCGAUUUUCCGCUGUCGAAUUGAGUGAAAUGAAAAAGAUUAAAUAACAUAAAUUAAUAAGGAGUGCGUAAGAAGUAACUGGAUAGCGCAAUGCCAAUUGUAUGUAUGAAAUGUAUGUACGUAUCCACGGAAUGCAUCUACAUACAAAAACAUUACUUCCCAAUUGGGUAGUGAUGUUCGCACUUCUGUUUCAGCAAAUAGAAAAGGAGGCUUCAUGUAAGUUGGGCUUGGCCCUUCAAGGAUAAGUAAUCAGUUCGUCAGUCGGCAAAAUAAUUUAGAAAAAAAAUAUAAAUAAAAAGUGAAAAAAGAAAAGAGUGAGGUUUAUGAAGGUAGAUGAAUUGGUCGGACAAGAUCCGAAGACAAACAAACGUACGGUCUGGAUUGGGUGGACCCAUCUCAAACUUCUACGAACUUCUUCUGUCUCAAUGGAAAGGACACCUUGGGCCCCGUAGUCGCAAGGCCCAAGGGAAAUCUACGAACGACGAAGAUGUAGCCCUUCUCUCUUUCGGCCCAAUAGGGCGCACGCAAAUAGGGAAGGUGGGGACCACGAACAGCCGCGCGUGAAGGAGUCCUGCAGUGACUUCAGCCGCUAGCACCAAAUUCAAUCUUACGGCCGAUUAGCUAUCACUCCUGUGUCCCUCCUGCAGGUGGUCCCCACCACUUCCCUUCUGCUGCUGCUUUUUUGUACAGCUGUACGAACAGGAUUCUCCGACGAUGGGGCGUGUAUUCCCAGGUGGUCCAUGAAACCUAGGGACGACACGUGUGCUCGUACGGGUUUGAGGUCAGUGGACAGGGUAAGGACCAACCGACGAACCUCUGACGAGGACGUCCGAAAGCGAACGUCAUUGAUUGGGGAGUUUGGUAAACUGUCCCUCCCGUGUAAUCAGAGACCGAUCAAAUCUAACGACUUCCCCCACAUCUGUCAACCAUACCCACAUUUGCACGCUCCUUGAUUUUUUAUUUAUUAUAUUAUCCUCUUCUUAAAUCUUGUUUCCAGACUAGAAAAAUUUAAGUAGGACAACUUAAACCAGUUUAACAGUUAAGCACUCUCACGAAACAAUAAAGUUCUACCGCAUUCGGAUAUCAUCCGGCUUCGUACAGGGUGCAACCUUUAAACCACCCAUCUCACUUCUUUUCAGUGUGAUCUUAUCAGCGGUCUGAUCAUACUUUUAUAUUUAAUAUUUUAUCUCUAAAGUCUAACGGUGGUGAUAAAUAACUUAUCAAAUAAAUAACUUGAAAGACCGAUGGCUAAAUUGAGGGUGCAUAAUCGUUGCAUGUAUUUUACGACUAAUGAUGAUGAAUCUCGCUAAUUAUUGCAUAAAAAAGUGUCUUCAUAAUCUUAAAUUUAUGAUCACAUGUUCCAUCUUUACUAAAUAAUUAGACAUUAGUUACCCUACACAAUAGUUACGUCAUUGUGAUAUUUUAUGAAUGUGUUCGAUGUGCUCAUCACGUUUUUUCACAAUAAAUUAGACUCGUAUUAGUGCCUAAUCACUAUCCAUUAAGUAAUUAUGCCUACAUUCAUACGGUUCAAAAAAUCCUUACCAAGAUCAACCUAAUUGGGUUGAAAUCCACUCACCACCUAUGUGGGUAAAUCAUAUAAAUAUGAGUUUAAUUCGGUCCGAAAUUAUUAACAUCUUGAAAAACAUAUACUUGCGUCGAGUCAAACACGUAAUCUCGAGUAUAGACAUAAUUGACAUAAUUGCCCCACCACAAUCUUAUCGUUUGAGUUCACACGAAUUACUCUAAUAUAUAAGCUAAACCAUGAACUCAUCAUGUGAAUUUAUUAAAUAGAUUGGCAGAUAUUGGAUAUAUUUUUCAGUGUGUCUAAAGUACAAAGUAAAACAUCACAUGUUAUUAUAUAAUUAGUUGGAUGUUUGAAAAAAAAAAACUUUCCUCUAAUUAUGUAAUGACAUGUAAUGUUAUGACUCGUAUUCCGAAUACAGUCAGAAAUCUAUCCAAGAUAUUGCCAUAAGAUUUGUUGUGAUUGAAUAUUUCAUUGAGUGACAUCUUGGUAUUUUGUCUUGACCUUAAAAACUUCCAUUUGUCAAGCGUAUCUCAAGCAUUAAAGCACAAGAAAAGAAAAGUUGCUCCUUCCCUUCCAUACUUUCCUUUUACUUUCUUGUCGACCAACUUCUUCAUUUUUAUGUCUUUUUAAAACAUAUAUUGUUGAAAAUAUUAAACAUCUCGAAUCAGAAAAUUAACAAAAUUAAAUAUGAUGAGCGUGGUUUAUUUCUCGCUACAUCGAGUUUUUAGUGAUAAAAUUUUCACACUUAAAAAUGAUAAGAUGCGAGUUGAGGAACAAUAUCAGUGUAGUUAAUAAUUAAUCGCUAACACAUCUUUUAAAAAUAUAGACAAGUGUAAUUUCAAUGUCUAUAUUCCCUCCACCAUACCAACAGCUGGAACUUCUACCAAAGUCAUUUAAGAAACUUCUUACACACCUGAAAAUUAUAAGAUUCGAGUUGAGGAACAAUAUCUAUGUAGUUAGUAAUGAAUCGCUGCCACAUUUUUUUUAAUAUAUAGACACGUAUGUUUUCAAUGUCUAUAGUCCUUCCACCAUGCCAACAGCUGCACGUUCUGUCGAAAUCAUAUAAGAAACUUCUUGCAACAAUACAAAAUCUAUGUGUUUGUGCGUAUAUAUAUGGCUCCAAGAGGUUGGUAAUUGUUUAAAUAUCUUAUUUAGAUAUUAUUUUGUUAGGGCAAGGCAAAUAGUUUAGUGGAAGAGACAAGAGGGAAAGCCCCAAGGGUUGAAGUAGGAAGCAAUCAUACCCCACAAUACCACCAAACGGUCCAAACACUCCAAACCAAAAUAAAUGAAUCAAUAUAUCCUAUGUCCAUUUCACCACUCUACGUUUUGUUUUUGUUUUUUAGCAAACGUUAUUGUCUGCACUAAGGGAGUAAAAGAGCGAGCUAAGCCUCAUAAUAGGUUAGCAAUAAUAUGGUUCAAAUUUACCUUUGGCGAGAUUCAAACCUAAGACCUCUCACUUACAAGUAAAAGAGAAUACCACUAUAAUGAAUUGAAAGAUUUUAUUAUUUAACCGAGGUUAUUAUCUUAGUACACUGACCCAAGUUGGGGCUGAAAAUUUUGAUUAUGACCGCGAACAUUCAUUUAUUGAGAUUUUAUUGUAAUGCUUCUUUACCUUUCUCACACUACCACUCAACCAUUCUAUGUUCCUCACUUCUCCCAGUACUAAAAAAUAAAUAAAUUCAGACAAACGUUAUGCAAGACAACUUGAUCAACUGGACAGUCACGCUCUCACAAUGAAACAUACUCUAAAUUAGUUGGCUACAAUUCGGCCCGACGCAUAUGUAACUUUCAAUGAAAGCAUUCACGCGUAAUGUAUGGGUGACCUGACCAGUUAAUCAGAAGAACCUUUGAACACUUUUUCAUUAGAUUAGUUUUUUUUUUUUUUAGGUAAAUUGUCAUAAGAUUAAUCGAUACAUAUGCUAUAACUUAAGUAGAACAAUAACAUCGAGUAACUUGUGCGCGAUGAUCACAAAAACUUUCGAGUAUGUGUCACACGAUGAAAUAUAUACUAAUAAAAGUGUUAGGUACUUGGUUUUAGAUUGUGCCUAGGAUGCGCCUGUGCACCUUUAUCCACAUUUAUGGCUACAGGCUACAGCUACACCUGCUGCAAAUCUAGAAGUCUAGAAUUCUUAUUACAAUCAUAAAUAAUCAAUCUUUGUCUUACUAUUUCGCCACGUGUCCAUCAAUCUGGCCGUCCAAUUGUCUUCCUCGGUCCUCACGCAACCAAAAGUCGUCUUCUCCGUCACUCUCUGCAGACAGUAGGACUCCUCCUUGCUUAAUAACACAUUCAAGUUUCAAACUUUCAACAAACCCCACCUUCUUUCUUGACUCAAAAGCCGCUUUUGGCUUUUCCAAGCCUCGCUUUUCCUAUAUGCACUGAAAAAGCCAUAAGCUUUAAGCUCUUCUCUCUGAUUUCUCACAAUUCAACUCGCAAAAAUGGCGUUUCAUCACCAGCAGCAGCAGACCCCUCACGAAAUGGCGUUCCACUCCUUCGCGGAGGACCAGCCGCCGCUCUCCGGAGCUCUGACGUGGCUCAACAACGCAGCUUUCCGCCAGCAGAACACCAGCUUCGGCGGCCUCCACGACGCGGGGAGAAACGACGACGUGGUCAUAUCGCCGUCCGGGAAGAGCAGCAGCUGCAGCGAUCGGAACCGGAGGGAGAUAAGCGGUUACGACGGCGGAGAAGAGGAGGAGGGGGAAGACGAGCUGGAGUGCGAGAGCGCGAGGUUCAAGGCCGACAUCGUGGGACAUCCUCUGUAUGAGCAGCUUGUGUCGGCGCACGUGUCGUGCUUGAGGAUCGCUACGCCGGUCGAUCAGCUGCCAAGGAUCGAUGAGAAGCUCUUGCAAUCGCAGCGCGUGGUCGACAACUACUCGGCGCUCCGAGCCAAUGGGGAUGUUGGAGUCAUGGAUGAGAAAGAACUUGAUUUGUUCAUGGUUAGCACUAAUUAAAUCUUAAUUAAUUUUUAAUUCCAUAUUAUUGAAAGUUUAAAACAUUUUUAAUUUCUGGAUAUUUUUAGAGUGUCGUGUAAUUAGUUGAGGUGGCAGUGAAGAAUCAUGUUGCUUAAUUCUCUAAUUAUUCCACUUUACAAGUGCUUUGGAGAAUCUUAAUCCUUUAAUUAGUAGUUUGAUUAGUGGCAUGUCUUGGAAUUAGAAUUUGUUCUGCAAAUCAAUCUCUCCAAUUUCUUUAUAAUUUCUACUAUAAUAUUAAGUCUAAACAUUUAGGUAUGUAUCCAGACAAUCGAAUCCUGGUGCGUAGUCUUGCUCGCCUAAUCUGCUGACGCCUAGUUCUUCCUUUGCUGUUCUCUUUCUUCUGUAAAUAAAUUUAGGCUUUUUAGCCAAAAUGUUCUUGAGAUUUGCAAAUCACAUUACUUUGGUCUCUGAGAUUGAAAAUCAAUAGAAAUGGUCCUGAGAUUAUUCACCAUCCAUUAUUUUGGUUAUUCCGUUAAAAAUUCCGUUAAGUGUUUAGGAGCUCUUGGCCCGAAGUUUAAGCAAUUUUCAAAGUUUUGUAACUCAAUCUCAGGAACCAAAAUGAUGUUUUAUGCAAACCUCGGACCAUUUUAGCUAAAAAGCCAUAAAUUUACGUACUUUAUAAAAGUCACAUUGUAAUUUUGUAACAAUCGAAUCCUGGUGCGUAGUCUUGCUCGCCUAAUCCGCUGACGCCUAGUUCUUCCUUUGCUGUUCUCUUUCUUCUAUAAAUAAAUUUAGGCUUUUUAGCUAAAAUGUUCUUGAGAUUUGCAGAACACAUAAAUUUAUGUACUUUAUAAAAGUCACAUUGUAAUUUUGUAACAAAAUGCUUUGGUUACGAUGUUGGUUGAGGGUCUAGCAUAACGAGAUGUUCAUAAUUUUGUUAAACUUUCGGUUUUCGUCAUCUGAUCUUUGCUCGUUGUGAUUUUGUAGACGAAUUAUGUUCUUUUGCUUUGCUCCUUCAAAGAACAACUGCAGCAGCAUGUCCGAGUUCACGCAAUGGAAGCAGUGAUGGCUUGUUGGGAGCUUGAUCAGUCUCUGCAAAGCUUAACAGGUAAUUUUUGUUUCUUUAGUUUCGAUCGUCCCAUAAAUCUUGAUCCUUUCCUCCCCAUUUCGCUGCCUUUAUCCGAAAAGUAGGAGACAGGGAAAAAGGACAAGAACAUGAAUGUUACUUCCCAUGUGCUAAACUGUUUUUGGUGUGUCCUAAAUGUGAGCAUCGUUUAUAUAAGGCUGCCUAAUAGUUGUUCUUUUAUUGCCCUUCCCCCGAAAAAACUAUGUUUAACUCUACGUGUUUAGAUAUCUGCGAAAAGAGGGAUUUUGCAAUAGCGAAACCAUCAAAACCAUCGACAUUGUUUCCAUUGUUAUCGUGAAUCCUGAGGUUGAGUUUGAGGUUGAUGUCAGUGUCGCGCUGUUAAAGACUUCAUCGGUGUGAAGAGGAAAGACGAGGGCAGAAGUUGCACUGACUUAAGUUUUUUUUUUUUCGUUGAGUCUUUUAGCUUUGAUUAGUGUCAUCACUUUGGAUUGCCUGUCUCUAUAAAUUCGGAUAUAGGAUAAGACAUCUUGUGUAGUGUCGUCAGUUGUUAUUGCUCGUUUUUGGUUGCUGAUCGUGAUCAACAUUUGUUUAUGGAUGGUUUACAGUUAAAUAUUUUAAGCUGCUUUCACAGGUGUAUCCACGGGUGAAGGAACGGGUGCUACCAUGUCCGAUGAUGAUGACCAGUUAGAUAGCGACAUCAACUCCUAUGAUGGAAGUCUGGACGGGCCAGACACCAUGGGAUUUGGCCCUCUUGUUCCGACUGAAAGUGAGAGGUCCUUAAUGGAGCGCGUAAGGCAGGAACUGAAGCAUGAACUGGAACAGGUACAAACUAUAGACUUACAGCGUAUAUAUACAUUUUCGGUGUGGACAAUUAGUGUAGCUGAUAACCUCUGCUUAUUAGGGUUACAAGGAAAAGAUCGUCGACAUUAGAGAGGAAAUUCUGCGCAAGAGAAGAGCGGGGAAACUGCCAGGUGACACAACUUCUGUCUUAAAAUCUUGGUGGCAAUCGCAUUCCAAGUGGCCUUACCCGACAGUGAGUUUGAACUUUGUUAUAAUCCCCUUGAAGCUUUCAGUUUAGCAGAUUCUUUUGUAAUAGCUACUAAUUAAGACGCUCUUUCGCUUCGAUAGGAGGAAGACAAGGCCAGAUUGGUGCAGGAAACAGGCUUGCAGUUGAAACAGAUCAAUAACUGGUUUAUUAAUCAAAGAAAAAGGAAUUGGCACAGCAACAUUUCAUCGACUUCCGUUCUCAAGAGCAAACGCAAGAGGUAGGAUUACGAUUAACAUAAUAUGGUUGUUUUUUCGAGUUAAUUUGUUUCGUAAACUUCAUAUAAACUUGUCUCAAUUUGUAAUUUGGAAAAAAAAGUAAUGCAGGUGACAUGAACAACCAACGAUUGAAGUAAAUGUCAUGAUUUUAGUCGAAAAUCUAGCAACAGAGAGCAAGGAAUUUAAUAUUUCUCGUACAGUAAAAGCUUCAAGCCUUCAAAUGGUAUGCUGCCCAUCUUUGGAUCGAUCGCUUCGAGUCUGAGGCACCCCGACACUAUCCAUGUCUUAUAGUACCAUAAUAUCAUCAAACUCUAAGCAUGUAACACGAAAAACUCGAACCAGGUAGCCUUAAUGUACUACGUUUCAGUGGAUCUAUGUAGAUUUUUUGUAUACCGAUCGCAUAUUAAAUAAAACGCUUGCUUUCUAUACAUAUUUUUAUGAAUGAGAAUGUCUAUGAAGAAUGUGAAUCUGUAAUUUUAAGGCAAAAAAUACAACUGAAAAAAGAAUACAGAUUGUUCUGUUUCUUACAGUGCAAGAAAACCUAUCGAAAAAGGAAACAAGGCAGCACAGACGACACUGAAUCCGACCUCUGGAUUCUACGAAAGCUGAUUCAUCGGUCCUGCGAACCUCUCUGCCUAAGGAACCAUCUUCAUUGGUAAAAGGGUCAGCGAACCUGCUGAAGCCAAGAGCAGCAUCGGCUUCUCUGCCAACACCUUCGUCGAAAUUGAGAGCGUAACUAUCAAUGUCGUACGACGUUGCUUUCUUUUGCUUCUUGUUUCGGCACAACCUAUUCUUAGCCUCUGUCAGCUUCUUCUUCCACCAUGUUGUCUCCUUGAGCCGGCCUCCGCCUUCUUGCUGCACCAAGUGUUGGCGUUCGUGACCAUUGUUGUUGCGUGAUCCAGAAGUCCUAAAACAACCACGAAAACCGCAAGAAGACGUAGGAGAAGUAGAAACAUCCAUAUCUGUUUUGUGUUCGCGAAGUGAACCGUGGUUUGACAUGAGCACGGUUGGUCUAGAGAGCGAGAGAAUCUGUGUUGAGAGACUUGGAGCAGAAGGGUGUUAAUUUAUAGGGGAGGGGAAGGGAAGGGAAAGGGAUACAAGAGAAAAAGGAAACAGGAAAUAUGUAUACACACACACACACAUAUAUAUAUAUAUGGAAAGAAAGAGUUGAUCAAUACUUAACAUUUAUAGAUUUUCGAGGAAAGAUUUGAUAGGGUGGUGUAGAUUUGUGGAAACAAAACAGGGAAUUCCUAAUGCAAAUCUUAGAGGGAUUUCAAAAUGCCAGGAACACAGAACUAAACACUACAUCUCAUUAUACAAUUGGAAUGACACUUGAAAAAAACUUUCUCCAAUAAUAUAAUGACGUGUGAUAUUCUGUCCUGUGUUCCGAACAUAUUGAAAAAUCUCUCCAAAUCUUCAACAUUCCCCGCCACAGUUGAUAUGCUCACCAACGCGGUGCCUUAAACAUUCCCCGCCACAACCCACACGCCCUAAGAGACGACGACUUGCUAUUGGUCAAAACAAAAGAAACGAAGACAGACCCCAAACAUGUGGAGUGCCACCGUGGUAUUUUGGAUCGAUAAUGUAAUAUUAUGGCAUUUUAAUUUGUUCUACAUCGUUUUAUUAUUUUGGAAUGUCAUGGUGGCGUAAACAAUUGCAGGGAAGUAUCUGUAUCCCCCAUAAGAAGUAAACAAUAUUGACAAAAUGUCAUGUUAAAAAUAACUACACAUAAUAUGCGAUUGGAGGAGUUCUUCUGUCUGGACCAUGUGGUUGACCGGCCAAAUACUCAUAAGAUGGGACGAGAAGGGGAUGAGUAGGCCCAAAAUACAAAAGGAGUGGACCUAUAUUCUCAUGUAAUUGACUUAAAAUAUCGUUACAGUGACAUUUCUGUUGUAGGUAAGUUUUUCCCAAAAUUUUGUAAUCGAAACCAAAACGUUUCUAUUAAGCUUUGGCGUGGUAGUAUUUUAGAUGUUACUGACAAUCUAAGUGAUCUUAAUGUCCAAUUCUGAAGUUCAAUUUAGAGUCUUCAUUAGACAAUUAUACUUUAUGGAUCUCAUUUUUCAGUGCAACUGCAAAUAGCCAAGUAACUUCCCAACACUUUAACAAGGUUUAAUCUUUGUUUCGAUUACGACUCGGGCCAAUCGAACAUGUUCCAUUUAACCCUAAUAUGUUACCAGUGUACAAAGUGACGAAACAACAACAAAGCCUUAUCCCGACAAAGAUUAAGCUUCGAUACAAUCCAAUGAUAAGUGCUUGUACUGAAGUUGGUUCAAAGGUAAAACCUAUAUGAGUUGAGACUUUUAUAAGACCAAUAUGUUUCUAUAAAACAAUAAAACAACUUCCCCAUCACUAUAAAGCAAAGCAAAUAUUAAGUUUAUCUUCCAAGGGCUCGAAACACAAAGGUACCGGUGCCGACGCCGGCGAGACAUCGACGAUGAAGCAACUUCUAAGAUCAUUUUCGAGCCUGAGACUAUGUUGCCGAGGGUUGCUGCGGUUGGGUCUGUCCUUUAGGAGGAACCUUUGCUGCCAUGGAGCGUAAUCCGUUCGCAAUUUCAGUGAAACUCAGCCUCUCGGACGGCUCUGAUGACCAGCAUCUCUCCAUCAGUGACUUCCAUUCAGGAUCGCAAGAGUCCGGUAUUGGUGGCCGCAAUGUGUUGCUCACAAUACCACCUGCAUUAACAUAUGAACAGCGGGAUAUCAGCAUCUCCGAAUCUGAGUAAAACCUCAAGGCGCCGAGCAUUGUUAACAAGUGCGAAGUUGUAUUGAGCAGUAGAAGAUACCUAUGAUAGCACCAUAGUGCAAAUCCGCAUAUGGUUCGUCUCCAGUGAGCAGCUCCCACAACAUGAUACCGAAAGAAAACACAUCGACCUAUUGUAUGCAACAAAAGAGGAGGGUAAAGAGCUAAGGAUUAAAAACAGGUCUAAGAAGCGAGUCGCAAUCAUUUGAGACGAUUUAGAAUAAAUUAAAUAAGAAAGCACAAACCUUCUCAGAAACAAGGCUACUGCUACCAUUCAACAGCUCCGGUGCCAUCCAUGGAAGUGUUCCCCGCACACCACCGGAGAUCAGCGUUUGACAUUUCACCUUAGAUAGGCCCAAAUCACCGACCUGGCAUCAGAAAGAAACCAGUGAACACAAUAUUCUAAACACGUAAACGAAUUACAGUAUGUUACAUAAGAAGCAUCUUAUAAAGCAUGUCAAUGAAAAAUAUGCGUUUUUGAAUAAAGAUGCUGCAUUUUAAACAAGUAUGUGGCUUAUAUAAGAAACGAAAGAUCAAAUCUACCACAAAACGAACCAGAAUAUGCGAAUGCAAGGAGCAAAAUAAAGUCACUACCUUGCAUAUUGGGCGGUGUGGAUCUCGAAGAUUGACAAGUAAGUUGUCACUUUUCAAAUCAAAGUGUACUAUCUUCUUUUCAUGCAGGUACUCCAUUCCGAAUGCCACAUCCAUUGCAAUCAUGAGGCGCUUGCGCCUGUCCAAACUCCUGAUAAAAUUAAAUCUGUGUCAGAUUUUUAUCCCAAUUGAAAAUUACGGACAACAAAAUGCCAAGCAAAUACAUUACUUCUCAUUUUUCUGCAAGGCAUUUCUCAGAGAGCCGUUAACCAUAUAUUCUGUCACUGUUGCCACAGAACCUCCGGGUCCGUCAAGCACAAUCCCAUAGAAAGCUACCACAUUGGGGUGGUGCAAGUCAGCAAGCUUGAUAGCCUCAUUCCAGAAAUCAUCUCUCUGUUUGAAUACAUAAACCACAACAUACGAAUUAAGUAAAAGAGUUAUGAAUGAAUGAAAGCUAAAAGUUUUAGAAACUAGUGUAACAAAAAGACAAACCAUGCGCUCUUGUUCUGAAGGCUUCCCGGAAAAACACCUAUCAUUGAUUCUUUUGAUUGCAACAUCAGUGCCCCUCCAUUUUCCAUGAUAAACGGUACCAAAAGUUCCAGAACCUAAUUCUCUCAUCUCUUCAAGGUCACUGUUCUUUAUAAUCUGCCAAAAGAAAAAGAAAUCGGUCAAUGGUACAUGGUAAUAUCACAACAUCACAAUACAUACAUAUUAAUGGAAACCAAAUUUUCACCUGCAACCGGCCUAGGCCAUCUGCUACUGGAAAACCAAGAUUUGGCUUAUCUGCAAAGUUGGAUUUGACAUCCUAAAAUAGGAAGCGGAAGUUAGAAGAUAAACAACAGGAGAGCCUAGAAUAUUUUUUCAGAGAGGGAGAGAACACGUACAAAUAAAAAAAAAAGGUCGUACCCAGUGCACAAGGCUCCCGCUUUACGCAGGGUCUGGGAGAGGUGAAUGUCGGCUAGCCUUACCCCCAUUUAUGGAGAGGCUGCUCCCAAGUCUCAAACCCGAGACCUACUGCUCAUGGGCGAAGGCACUUGCCAUCGCACCAAGUGCGACCUCUUAGAGACACGUACAAAUAAUAAAAAAAAUUCACACAUGUACAUAUAUGAAUUCUUAAAUACCUCACUUUCUGUUCUGUUUUGCAUCCCUGCAGCAUUGUUUUGAACCUCUUCAUUUCGAUUGGUUGCAUAAGCAGACUCAUUUUUAUCAUGCAAGUAAGAAUCUGAUGGCGUAGAUGACUGAAAAACACAAGCAGCUACUCCCUCAGCAACAGCUUGAAGUUCUUGCUUUAUUUGUUCUUCUGCUGAUCCUACGACAAAGAAGCAAAAUAAUAAGAAAAGUUCAUAUGAAAUAAUUAACUUAUCUAGAAAGAUCAUCACUUAACUAACCUUUGGACGACGGGGCAUGCUCUGAACUAAGAUCCCUGUUCAAAUUGCCUGGUGGCUGUUGGCCUCCAUCGUCCAUUCGCAUUUCUGUAUAUGGUUCUUUUCUCAAUUGUAUUUUGGUUGGCUUAGGAGGCAAUUGAGUAUCCUGGCACAAACUCCAAGGAUCUUGAUUGCUGAACAGUGAGUUUGAGGAGUCCUGGGCACCAAAACCAUUCGAGGUAAUACCUUCCCUCUCGUUAGAUACCAUCUUGGGCUGCAAUCUCAUAUUCUCAUCCUUCCAUUCAGGAGGAGGUUGAAUUCCAUCAGUGAGAUGGGUCAAAACAACAGGGGUUCCAUAAUUAGAUUCGUAAGAAUCACAAGGAUAUAUUCCAACUCUUGAUUGCAGAUAAGCUUCAGGAUUUCCCCAUAUAGAUUGUUUUCCUAAAUCAUAGAAUUCUGCUGGCUGUGAACUAUACCCAUGUGAGACUUCGGCAGAGGGAGAAGCUAGUACUUCGGUCGGGUUAAAGUGAUUCCUGCCUAAUUUGUCAACGAGGUUAUCCACAGCCACCUCUCUACCCCCAACUUGUGCUGUUUUGUGAUCAACGUUGUCUUCCAUUCUAGGUAUAUCCCAAGGUGAUUUACCAUGCUCCUUGUUAACAUAAAUCUCAGUGGGAUUUAUCCUGAGUGUUUCCAUCCUCCCGUCGAUUUGUCUCAAAUUAUCAUAUGCAGUUGGAGAUUCACGAACCAGGCAUUCUGAAGUUUCAACAGGUGCACCUCCAACAAGAGGUACAUCUUGAUUAAAAGGAUCGUUACCUAAAUUUUCCUGUUUAACCUGGUAAUGAAAUGGUGUUGGAUGUAGUUGAACAACAUCGUCUUGACAAUGCUUAGGAAUACUGACCAUGAAUGCACCAUCUGGUGAUUGCACAUCACCUCCUCUCUGGAUAACGCCCUGUGGAGAUGAAAUCUGAGAGAGGCAAGUCACAUCUGAAUGAGAUGUUACGAGAAGAGGAUCUACUGGAAUUUGAACCCUAGGGCGAGCCUCAACUCCUUGGCCAAAAUUACCUUCUCCCUUGUUCAUCGGCUGAGCUCGCAAAUUCUCCUCCAGCCGAGGACUAUAAUAAGUUGGACUUGAAUCAGAUACCGGGCUUCCGCCAAUGUCUCUCUGAACCUGUACCACAGUAUCAGAAUGUGCAUGAGGCAAUGCUAUCUGACACAUAUAACAGUCCUGGAACUUUGUGGACUUCUCGGGAUACACUUCCUGUUGGUGAGAUACCAAUGCAUCAUGGUAAAUCACAUGCUCUGGUGAUUGAACUUGAUGCCAUCCAUAAGCACCUCCUGCUGUUGUUGAGGGUACUUGAACCUGAUAGGAAUUAUAGCUUUGUUCAGCAGGAAGCUGGACGACCUUGGGAACAAAGGUACUCUCGCCUACAUACUUAUCCAACCGGGUCUGUUGUGGAUGGAUCAAUGGCUGAAGCACACUUGGUCUUAUAUUAACAUGAGAAGUCGAGGGAGUCAUUGUCAUGUGCACUGCAGGAAUGAAGUGAUGCGGGGUGAUGCCAGCAAUACUAUCACCGUAUUGCUGUUUGGUGAAUACAGGACCAGCAGUCCCCAAUAGGUGAGGACUUGGGAAACCCAUCUGAGGAGGAAGCUGGAGAUGGUCUGCCCGUGUAACAAAAUCUUGGCGAGGACCAACAUAAGUUUGCAGAUAAGGAGCAGUAGAUGAAAUGCCAAUUCCAGGUUGCUGCUGUGAUACUGUAACAGGCACAGAUCUUUCUAAUUCACCUUCCGGAUGAGAAGAUGGUGUUUGGGGAGGCCCAGACUUAACCACAGGAAUGACCAAUGGAAUUGUAGAAACUUCAGAAUAAAUUGUAGGCUUAGGAUCCACAAAUACCAGCCUUGUACUAGCAUCAUGAGAAGUAGAUGAAUCCCUUUUCGGUGAUAACUUGCCCGGUGAUGGAAGUCCAGUAUUGUCCCCCUGACCAGGAACUGAGUUAUCAACAACAUCAGUUCCACUAAAAUCAGAAUUUUGAGUUGAAGUUGCACUUGCAUUGCUCUCCUUCCUCACGAUACCAACACUCACCCCAUCCAUAAUCCCAUUGACAGCAUCAACAUAUCUCUGCUCACUAUUAUGUAAAUCCCCAAUUUGUACGACACCAGAUGGAUCAACUUCAGAAGCAGAAAACAAAAAUACCCUCAACUUUGCUGAACCAUCUGGAGAUCUCUCGACCAACUUCCCAUAUUCAUCCUUCAUAUUGUCAAGAUCAUCAGCACAUGAAACCGACACCAGUGCAUCGAGAUCCUCAUCGGGGAGCUGGUAUUUAAUGACCACAGGUUGCCCAUAUGUAUCCACCAUCUUCUGCACUAGCUCAUUGAAGCUCACAUCUCUCCGAACACUAAUCCUUGUCUGCCCUCCAACAUACCUCAACAUUCCAUCACUUGGUCUGGGCAAAAUCUUUCCGCCAAAGCUGCACAGAAGCUUUAUUUUCUUCCCAUACACAGAAUCUUCCCCACCGUCAUCACUUGCUUGUUCAGUCCCACUCCCACGACUGCCCAAAUUGGCAUUGUAACCAUAUCCCGAUGUCAAAUCAUUCCCAGUCUGAUCAGCAACAUUGCCACUGACCUUAUUGCCUAAAUUGGGAUUAUAACCGAACCCAGCUGCCAUAUCAUUAACUCCAUGAUCUAGACCACUGCCAGCACUCCUAUUAAACAUAUUCGAACUACAGUCAGAAGGCCUAGAAGCAGUUGUUGUAGUAUCAGAGCUUACAAGAUCAACAUCAUUUCCGCCGACCCGACUGCCCAAAUUAGGACUGUAACCAAUUCCAACACCAACGCCAGGGUUCACACCUGGAUGUCCCACCGGCACAGCAAUGCGGGGGCCAGGGCACCACGGGGGCACCCCCGACACGGCAUUUCCAUACCCUAGGCCAACAUGCCCAGCCUCCGAGGCAACCGGUGCUUGGUAAAAAACAGGUAUUGAAUGAGGGCUAUUAACUUCACGAACUGGGUGGCUGGGGAAAAAUCCAUCGGGGUUUCGAGCAGCUGUAGUAGCCUGCGCAAUGCGGGGUUCUUCGGCCACAGUUCGAGCUACAUUUAACUGUCUCAGUUCUUUGGGAAACGAAUUUUGAUCAAACGCCAUAUCUACAAUUAAUUAAAAAAAAAUUCAAAAUUCAAUCAAGGGUCUGCAAAAUCAAUCCUAAAUAAGAAAACCCACGAUCAAAAUUCGAUAAAGCUAAAAUCUUUUCAUCUAGAUUGCGAUAAGCUAAGGUCUUUUCAUCUGGGAUUUUCAUUUUGUUAAUUCUAAUUUAAGUACUGAAGCUUUUCUAAUCAUCUGCUAUAAACCCUAGCCAGAUUGCACCAAACUAUAACAAAAUUUUACAGCUUUAUAUCCAAAACAGGGGACAAUAAACACAAAUAAUUGAACAAAAACACACACACAGAGAGAGAGAUUAAGUACCAGAUUGAAACGUUGGCGUUUGGAGGAGAGAGAGAGUGUGUGGAAGAGAUAAGAUGGAGGAGAAGAAAAAACACAGAGAGAGAGAGAGUCCGAGUCGGUGGAGUGCAGUUUCCAAACUCCGAAGGAAUCAAAGCUCACAGUGACAAGCGUCCCCUUAGCAGCUCCUUGGCACUUUCUCGCUCUAAAAAUCUGGUCCUUUUAUUGUUCCAUCCAUCGUUGAAUAUUUUCCGUGGUGGGAUUUUAUUUUCUCGGGAAAAUGAUGUGUUUGUGAGGAAAAUGGCAGAGUGGCUGAAGAGAAAAAUUAUGGUUUUUGGUUUGAAGUCUUGGAGAAGAGAGAAGAGAGAAGGUGACGGGGGAAGCCACGUGGAAUGUUUCAUGCAAGAUUAUGAUUUAUCAGUAAAAAAGUGUAGUAUUAUGUGUUGUUGUUGGGAACCUAGGAGUACUUUAUUUUUGAUAGUGACAUAUGCAAAUAAUAUAUAAACAUAUAUAUAUAUAUAUAUAUUUUUUUUUUGAAUUUAAUGGCCUUAUCGAUGAUUCUUUAAUAUGUCGAAAAUAUAAUCUGGUAUAUUAAGUAUUAUGAUACAAAUAAUUAAAUAUUUAAAAAUAUUUUAACUAUUAAUAUAAUGAGACUUGAUAUACCAAAUUAUAUAUUUAGUGGGCUUAAAAAUUUAUCGACAUUGUGGCAAGGUAGGAGAAGACAAAUACAAAACGAAAAUCUUGGACGGUCCUUCAAAUACUACAUUAAAUUAUACUAUGCAUACAACAUAUUAUUUAAUUAAUAAUUUAUGAUAGAAUUGUUGGUAGUAAUUUCGUAUCUACUUAUGGUUACUUAUUUUAACUGCAAUCAUGCCAUUUUAAUCACAACUUAAUUGAAGCCUUAACUUCUUAUUUUUGUUCGUGAUCAAUCUUUAAUUACUUUGAUCGCAUGAUCAUGGUCAAUAUAAAUCAUGAUUGUUUUACUAAUUAGGGUUUCAAUCGUUCAAUUUUAUUUAAUUUUUUGUUAAUACAAAAAGUAAUGAAUAUUAAACACAUGCCAUUAGAAAAUUAAAAAAAGAUAAACAUAAGUUAUGAGUUUAUGUUAUAGCAUUACCACUGUUUUAAAAAUUCUGCCUAGUGCUAUCAAGGUCAUGUCUAGGCUCUGAACGACAAGCGACCACUUUGAUGAUUCAUAGACGAUUGAAAAUUAUGAAAAAACGCCUAGACUUGUUUAAGUAACUAUUCAUACUUAAGAGUAAAUUAUUAAAAGAAAAAAUGUAUGUCUACAUUCGACGAUAGAACUUACUGUAAUUCUUAUGAACUAAAGUAUUUACAGUAAGAAAUAAUUAAGUUAAUGCAUGCCAUAGAUUGUUGUAUACUAUAACUUACCGUAACUUUUUAUUUAUCCCGAAAUUGCUAACUUCUUUCCUGGUCUGAAUAGGGUAACUUCACAAUAAUUGGAUAAUUCUUGGUCCACUAUAUUUUUCUGGAUUCAUAUCGACCGUUUGAAGGACAUUUUCGACUUUCAUCGAAUCGGUGGGUGAUGACACAUCAUCAAAACUGGAAUUGCGAUCCUCUGAAUUUCUGUGUUCGAGAUUAUAUAUUCUGAGAAAUAAAACUAUAAGAAAUUUUAUUUGAACUUAUAUAAUCUCUUUCAAACUUUAAAUAUGAAUUGUCUUUCUUACUCUAUUGCAUAAUUACCGUCAGGUACAAGAUUAAAUGAACAAUAAAACCAAAAUUUAUCAAUAGACCCAUAUAUACCCAAUCAUCAAUCUACUUCUUGGUACCAUCUGGGAAUGUGUCGCGCCUUCAUCGCACUAGCUCGAUGUUACUUAUGAGCUUUUAUAUGCUUAUGUUAUUGUUUAUGGAUUCGAAGCAACCAAGGAUUCUUCAAACUUCAGAACACAUGAAUGAAAUGCUGAUUCAACGGACCAUGUGAAACUUUUGGAUUUUGUACUAAAUAUUGGAGGGAUUGGCUGAUCCAAUUUUGAUCAUUUGCAAAAAAACGCAUACUGAUUGAACAAAAAAUAAAAUAAAAACAUAUGGGAUUUAAAUAUUUAAUUUUUUUUAAUCAUCUAUAUGGGAUUAAGCAAAAUCAACAGAUGAGAUUAAUUAAAACAGAUAUGGGAUUGAGCAAAAUCAGCAAAUAGAAGGAUUACGCAUGAGACAAAUAUGUGGGAGAUAUUGUUGUCUUUAUGCCUUGAAUGAGUUUCAAAACACGAUUUUGGUUUUUUAUUUUUUAUAUGGGUGUAAAGAUAAAUUUAUGUAUCAAAUUGUGUUUGUGAGGGUAAUUUAGAUAGUAAGUUUGGGUUUAAAGAUAUAUUAAUAAUUUAGUUAAAAAUAAUAUGGGUGGAGGGAGUAAGUUGAAUGUAAAAAAAUGUUGUAUGGAUUCAAAUAAAAUUUCUAAAACUAUUCAUUUUAAACUCUUAUUAUCACACUAACUCACUGCACACAAAUAAAGCAUCUGAAUCUCUCAUACUAACAAUCCAAAUCCCUUAAUUCUUGGCUUUCUAACACCAGAGAUUCCGAUAGAUUUUCAAUUCUCAAAACUGGGAGGAUAUGAGAUAUAUUUUCCUUGUUUUUUAUAAUUUUUUAAAGGUAUAAAAAGUUCAACAUCAAAGAGGAAUAAAUCUUAAUUUAUAAGAAAAGGUGUGACAUCCGACAUCGCCCAGGGGAGUUGAUCAUGUACCUUAUAUGUAUAUUCCCAUCUCUACCUAGCACGAGGCCUUUUGGGAGCUCACUGGCUUCGGGUUCCAUCAGAACUCCGAAGUUAAGCAAGUUCGCACGAGAACAAUUCUACGAUGGGUGACCCACUGGGAAGUUGUCAUCUGAGAUCCUAGAAACAAAAACCGUGAGGGCGUAGUUGGAGCCAAAAGCGGAUAAUAUCGUGCUACGAUGUGGAACGGGUCUGGGAUGUGGUGGACCUCGGGCCGGGAUGUGACAAAAGGAAAGAGAAAAUAAUAUGGAAACUAACAUCAGCUAGUCUUUUACUUGUUUGGAUGAGGUUGGCCCAAAUUCUUUGCUUGAUAUUAAAACAAAAAGUAAAUUAAACUUCCAUACGCGGUUUCAUUAUUCUUUUUAAGAUUGACUAAAAUUCAAGAAAGAAACAUAUAUUUUGGGUAAAGAAUGAAUGUUAAAAAAGUUAAGCAUUUUGAGUUACGACUUUGUGUCUCACAAAUCACAAACAUGUUCACCAUUGAGUGUUAUGUGGUUUGAUUGGAAGGAAGGCAAUUUCUAUGAAAUUGAAGAAACUUGCACCAAACAGGUUUCGAGAAUUAAUCCUAAUUUUAACACGCAGAGAACUAACCUUAUUUCAAUAGAUAAGGAAUCCAAGUUCUUCUGCUAAACUUUAAGGCAUAAAAUACUAAAUAUAACCUUACAUAUUAAAAAAAAAACCAAAUUAACUUUUCCAAAAACAUGAGCACGAUGUAGCAAUAUUCCAAACCUAUCAAGCGGCAGUAUGUGUUGGUAACUUUUCGCGUAAAGUAGCUUUAUUAUUCUGGACCUUGACAUUUUUCAUCUAAGUAUUUACCACCGAAAGGCUCAGCACCAAAUUAACGAUAUUAGUCAAACAAAUUCGUGUCGGUAUUAUAAAAGUACACUAACUAACCAAUCGAUAUUACAUCAUGCUUAUGUGAUUCUGGUAUCUAUGGCGCACUGAAAGUCAGGUAAAAGAAAGAGAUCUGUAUAGUACUUGGCUCGAUCGUCUUUAGCAAGUAGAUAAUCCUACCCCUGUUAAGUUGUCGUUCCUCCAAUAAGCAACAAGGACGUGAAACCCUACAUUUUUUACUAUAUGUAUCCUUCCAUGUUUGAAACACCCUAAUCAUUUUGCUAUAGAUAAUAGAGGUGUGACAACGAUAAGCAUCCCAGUACGUAGUGAAGAAAAUGAGUUUCAGAAUCUGUCGUGUUUGCAUGGGCUAAUUGGUCCUGGUCGGCCAUGCUUUGUCGGUUUUAUGCAGAUUGAUUCUUGUCAUUCAUGUUUAUAAAGACGGAUAAUUGAACACGACUAACUCUAACAAUUCUCGAGAAAAUAAUUGAUUAAUUGUGGGAUUGUGUGAGAUGGAAAGUAGACCUCAACUUGCAUUGUUUUAUUUAUAACAUGUGCCCGCGCGCGCGCAAUAUGCCCUAUUGGCUGCAGCGUAGAGAUAAAUUUAUAGUCCCAAACAGUUAGGACAGUAGUAGGCCAAUAGAGGAUAAAGAAGUGGUGAAUAAACAACUGGCACCACAUGGAUGGAGACAGUAUAGUUCCCUUGUGGGAGAAAUCAGAACAUAAUUAGCAAACUAAUCGGUAGUGUAAACAGUAAUUCAGCUAGCAUAGAUUUCUCCUGAUCUGUACAUUUGACCAAUCCUAGGCUCCUAGCUAUCUAGUAAAUCUCAUGUUGAUGAAUCCGAUGAUGUUCAAUAUUACAACAAACGUAGAAGAAGGAUCAACAAAGUGCAAGUGCAUUUAAUUAACUAAUUGCUAUUUAUAUGUUUAAUGAGAAAUGUUAAGGAGACUCUCAAAAGUAAAACUAUUUGUUAACUCUAUGUCAUCUCAUGUUUUUGAUACAAUGUUUUAUAAUAUUGACACGGAAAUUGACGUUAAUUAAAUUGUCAACUGUGAGAUGACAGAGAUUUCAUCAAGAAUUAAUCUCACUUUGAGAGAAAAUCUCCUGAGCAUUUUUCAUGUUUAAUUACUAGGUUAGGAAUAUUUAGGAAGGUCAUGAUCUAAUGAACAGUUGAAUAUCAGAGUGCGGAACAAACAAGAAGAACAAAAUAAUAAGAAUUUUAUUAAACUAACUGAAUGCCGAAACGGCUACAAAAACCCUAACAAGCUACAUUGUGAAUAACUUAUUUCGAAUGAAUAACAAAUCACUCUAUUUAUAAUAAACUAACCAUAAACCCUAAUGCUAACGGGCUAAGCCCAGAAAACAAAAUAUUAAAGUAAACCUAAAUACUAAUAUUCUACAACACCCCCCGUCAAACUCAUGGCGGUAUACGACAUGGGUUUGCAAACAAGCAGAUGCGGACUGGCUCUGUUAGGCGGACAGACAGACAGGCAGGCUCUGCCGCAACGCGGACAGACAGACAGGCAGGCUCCGCAACGCGGACAGACAGACAGGCAGGCUCCGCAGCAACGCGGACAAACAGACAGGCAGGCUCCGCAACGCGGACAGACAGACAGGCAGGCUCCGCAACACGGACAGACAGACAGGCAGGCUCCGCAACACGGACAGACAGACAGGCAGGUAUGCAAACUUGACUUGACUUGACUUGCGAACUGGUGAACUUGCGAACUUGACUUGACUUGAUUCUUGACUUGACUUGACUGGCAAACUGGCUAGAGUUGAGAGUAUGGAAAGAACCCGUCACUAAACGGACGAGGUUUCCAUAUCUCAAUUAUACCAACAAACAACGAAAACAAUUCCAAACAAGGCAACCAACAAUUCUUGCGGGCCUAAAACAAACUUAAACCAUAUUUUUGACUUUUGCCCGUGUGGGCCUAAAAAAAAAACUCCAAACAAUUUUUUUCUCUUCUCUUUUUUUUUUUUUUUUUUUCCUCUCCUUUUUUUCUCUCUUCUUCUUUUUUCUUUCCUUUUUCUCUUUUCUGCUGGGCUUCUUCAGAACUGCAGCAACAUGUUUCUUGGUCUUGUGCGGCGGUGAGUUCAUAAGGCAGUGCAACAAGGAUGUGAUGAGCAGCGGCAACCUGGGUGGAUGGUGAUUGGGUGCGCGGGACGACGGCAAGGGAUCUGGGUGCAGGUGCAAGCAGGUUGUUCCGGUGGCAGCGUGGUGGUGAUCUGAUGAAGAAACGAUGGCUGGCAGGUACGGUUCAGGCAGAUGCGAGUGCAGGCUGGUGGUCUGGUGCGAGAUGGUGGUGCGGUGGUUUAAGCAGGCGAGGUGCAGGGUUCAUGUCACAGGGAACUGGACGCAGUGGAAGGUUCAGGUUUUUUGUUUUCUUAUGCAAACUAAACCAACAACAAAAAACUAGCAUACAAACUGACAAAUAACAUACCAACCCGACCAAGCAGAUUAAAUCCCAAAGGAUUGAACCUGCUCUGAUACCAAGUUGAAUAUCAGAGUGCGGAACAAACAAGAAGAACAAAAUAAUAAGAAUUUUAUUAAACUAACUGAAUGCCGAAACGGCUACAAAAACCCUAACAAGCUACAUUGUGAAUAACUUAUUUCGAAUGAAUAACAAAGCACUCUAUUUAUAAUAAAUUAACCAUAAACCCUAAUGCUAACGGGCUAAGCCCAGAAAACCAAAUAUUAAAGUAAACCUAAAUACUAAUAUUUUCCAACAUGAACUGCCACAUAUUUGGCCGGGACAAAAUCGAAGUAGCUAGCUCUUUCGUUGUUUGACAUCAUCUACCUCAGGGUGCUUGCUUCUUGUUUUGCAGCAGCAGGAAUUGCUUAAUUAUUCGCUGUCAAAGUAUCACGAGUUCUUGCAGAUGUGAGAGAGUAGCAACAUUAACAAGAACGGAUGUGCUCUCCUAUGUUGUUAUGCACUUAAGUUAAAUAUAUUUUUCCUCACAAUUAAUAAAAUAUCAGUCGUAUAAAACCAUUGCUUUAUUUCUUUACAAGGUUUUUAACCAUCCUGGAAAGGCCACCUUUUUUUUUUUUUUAUAAUUAUUAUUUAUUUUAAAUACAAGACAAUUUAGAGUAUGGGCAUUAGCCAUUUAACAUUUUUAGACCCGCCAUAUGCCAUUUAAUAAUUUAGAGUAUGGGAAUUAGCCAUUUAAACUACUCAUGUGCCCCCUCUCCUUCAUUGGAUUGUAGUAUGGGCAUCGUCAUCUUCAUUCACUACUUACGCCCCCUCGUAGUAUGGUCGUCUUCUUCAUUUACUAUUUGCCGUAUCAAAUCUGGGCCUGGGUCGACUACGUACGCGUGCAUGCAUGCAUGCAUUAAUGCGUGAAAAUUGAGCAAUAGAGAAGCUACGCGCGAAUUGCAAUUGUAAUGAACUACACAUGCUGGGAACUUCUGCAAAUCGAAUUGAUGGGGUGAAAUUAAUCAUGCAAACUCAUUCAGAUUCUAUUAAAUUUCUUUAUUAUUUGAAAUUUUCUGAUGAUCCAGUGAUAUAUAAUUAAGUUAUUCCCAAUAUAUAUAUACUUUACAGCAAGCAUUCAUUCCCAAAUUUCCCAGCCAAAAUAUACUUCAGAUUUAACCUAAUUCAGAACUAAUCGUUCGCAAAAGAAAAAAGUUUGCAGAAAAAUAAAUUGAAGGUAAAAAAAACAUAGCAACAUUAGUAACCGUGCCAAUAUAUACACCCCCAUGAAAAUUAAUUAACAAACCAUAUUUACGUUUAUGUGUAUUAUGAAACCCAAUGAUUAAUUAAUUAUUAAGAACGGAUUAAUUGCUGAGGUCUUGCCUUUGGAUCAUACGCUAGCUGUAGGCAGUUAUCUCCUUGGACGCAGGGGGAGAAGCCACAGAGUCCUGCGAUGUUCGAGGCGGCGAAUGCGGUAAUCGGGAGGAGAAUCCCAAGAGCGGGUCAUCCUCGAGGUUGGACUCCUCGUGAUCAAAGUUGAGGGCGUAGCUGAGUGCGUCAUAUUUGAAAUCGGCUGAAUGAUGCCUCCGGCCCGCGCGGCCAUGGCCAUUGCCACGUCCAUGCAUGCGCCCAAUCCAAUUUCUGCACUUGUCUUUCAAUUCUGCAAACUCGUAAUGAUUGUUGUGGUGGUGGUGGUUGUAAUGGUGUUGGGGGUGGUGAUGAUGCCUAGACCGCGAGGACCGGGGAUUAGGGGAGAAUGAGGAGGUUUGCACGAGGCUGACAUUAUCAGCCUCAUGCGGAGUGGGAGGCGCCGUGAGGGCGCCGUGGUGGUGAGCUUUAGGAGUAGGGAAGCAUGGGAUGAUGCAGAGGGAGGAGCGGAGCUUUUGUUUGAGGGAGUUUGGGGAGCAGGGUUCGUGGUGGUUCUCCAUUAUUUUGAUUUGUGUGGAGAGGUUAGGGGUGGUGGUGGUGGUAUUUGUGUUUUUAUUUGGGAGGAGGAGGAGGCCCCGUGGAGAAGGUGCAAUGACGGAUGAGGACACGUAGAUUUCCGGAAUUCAUGGGAUGCUUUUGGGGUUUCUGGUCAUUUGACGUUGUUCAGAGAUUAUCGCUUUUUAGGGUCUUUUUUAUUUUAUAUUUUUUUCCUUUCGAUAAAUCUGAAAACCAUGUUGGGCCAGAAUUUGAAGGUUAAUAUUGUCGUCCAUUUGCAUGACUUAUGGGCUGGGCUCGAAUACAAAAUUGGAAUGUGAGCUUGAACAUAGCAUAGAUUUUAUGGUGUGAUUAGUUUUUCUUGUUGCCCAAUUAAGAAAACUACGUGCUUAUGAGAUGAGAUUUGGUGCCGAUGUGGUUAAGCGAGUUGAUUUUUUUUUUUUUGGUCAAACGAUAAGUUUUGUUAGAUUAGUCAUUGAUGGGGUUCGAACACACGCUAUCAUGUAAGGGCUCAACACAUUUUCAUCAUUGUGGUAAAGAGCCACUUGUGUUAAGCGAGUUGAUUAGGACUGUGUUUUUUUUUGUACAUGAGUUCGAAUUUUCAUUAUUAUAAGUUAAGAUUAGUUUAGAAUAUCACAUUGUUGGACAAAAACAAAGGAAGAUUUGAGUAAUCCAUUUGAAUUUUUGUUUAUUAAUUUUCUUUAAUUUAUUCGAUCUAAGAGCUGAAGAUUAAGAAAAGUAUAUGAAAGAUAAAAAUAAGUGUCUUUUAAUAUUAGUUUGUAUGAUCCUUAGAACCCAUGGUGUGUUCUUCCUCACAUGAUAAGAUCUUUGUCCAUAUCCUUUGUGUAGUAAAAUAUUGUAGAAGUGGGGUUGGGGUUGAUACGUUUGUAUUGUUUAUUGAGAGAAAAUAUACUCACUCCUGACAUUUGUGAUUCUCUACACCUUGUCUUGUUUUUAACUUUGAAAAAGAUUCACUUCUAUUCAAUUUUGAUAUUAUUUAUUGAUAAAUUUGAUCAUUUAUGAUAUAAUUUCUUUAAAUAGUCGAUUUUAUAUGUGGGGUAAGACGCCAUUUGUGUGUACAAUCAAAUUGACUUUCAGGUUAUAAGGACAAAGACGUCUCAUUAUCACAAUGAAUGAGACCACGUGGAUUGGAGAUUGGACUUACGUGCGACCCGAUAAUACCCUCAUAUAAUGCAGCCCGUUCAUUUGUGAGAGUGUCUGACCAUCUAGCUGGUCAGACUGCUCUACUCACAAUUCUGAAAUAAAAUUUAAUAGUUAAAACACCUGUUUCAUUGAAGCCAAACUUUUCCCCCUCUUAAUUCUACUUGAUUCAUUGAAAUAGUGCAAAAAAGAAUGUGCAAAUUCACUACCCUUUUUACCUAAACACAAAAACAGAAGAAAUGAAGUACUCAACAAAACCAUUCACUGCAGCCGAGAAAAGACAUUUUAUUUACUAGAAAGCCCAAUGAAACAUUACAAGAAGAGAUUUGGUUGAUCACGUGGCUCACCCUUGUCCCUUAAUAAGUGCCAGGUUUUCAGUUCAUAGCAACACGCAGCACCACUGUCUCAUUCGACACACACCUCGUGGACUUGUUGGAAGCUUUCGGUUAAGUUGCACUGAAACUCCCUCAACCUUUCCAUCCCAUGUCUCUCACCUUUUCUUUGUUUUGUUUUGUCUCCUCAUCUUUUACUUUUCUUUUGCUCAUUUUCGUUGAAGAAUAUAGCCCCACAUCGAAAACCUGACUGCAGUAAACACUAUUUAUUUUUGUUUUACCAGUAGUAGUAGUAGGCCGUUGAACCGUCUCUGAAACUUUAACGGUUUUCACUGGUACAUAAUUGAGAGGAGAGAGAUGAAGAUGAUUGAUGCAGAUCGUAUAUACAACCAUCAAUGGUAUGGACCCCUCUUUUGUCUGCCACCAUAUUUUGUUUCCAUCUUAUUGUUUAACUUCCCUCUUCUUCUUCUUCUUCAUUUCUUUGGAAAAUAUUUCAGGACCAAGCAGCUUUUCAUGGUGGAAAAACUGUAUCAUUUAUAAGAGAAAUAUAUACAUAUAUAUAUAUAUAUAGAGAGAGAGAGAGAGAGAGAGAGAGAGAGAGAGAGAGCUACACUUGUUUUCUUUGUCGGUUUUGAGUUGUUAUUUGGAGGUUGAAAUUAAUGGCUGGAAUGCUUCCUGGUGUGGAAUGCGCUCGGAGGAGACGAGUCCAUCAGAGCGGAGAGUCACCGUGCGUCGGCGGCAUCCAUGGCAGCACCAGGCGCUCUUCUUUCUGUUUGUAUGCUAGCAACCAUGAAUCUCACCACACCUCCACCUCUUCACUGGUAAUUCUAUCGCUCUCUGUGUUUUUCGCUCUCUCAUUUUCUUGGAAGCAUCCGAUUUUUCUUACCCUCGAAAAUGAAUGAAUCAAACAAGAAUCAAUCGAGGAAAAGAAGAAGAGAGCGCAGAAGGAGAAACGAGAAACUGGAGUGUGAAAAUCGCUGUCCUACCGAUUUAAAUUACAAGCAAAUAUAAUUUUCUCCUGUUGUAUAUGGAUUAUUUUUCAUGAUCAUUGUUUCAAUUUGCAUGUUUGAAUCAUUAAUAACAGUAUUAAUUUAUUGGACACAAUAGCAAAGAAGCAUACUGAACCAAGCAUACAUGGAUGAGAAGCUGGGAGUGGAAGCCAGAGAAGCCAAGGGGAGAUUAGAUGAAAGACUGAGAACACAAAGAAAACCACAACCCAAAAGGUAAUUAAUUUACCAAUAUGUGGUCCGGCUAUGAAACAAAUUGUUGCUGACACAUCAAUAAUGCCUCGAUAUCCAUGUUAUUGAUGCGUUCUUGACAAUAUCAAUGAAACAGUUGUUCCUUCAUGCACAUAAAAUUUCUUAACAAUAAUGGUUCUUGCACUAACAUACGCGACGGGAAUAAAUUUCCUCUCAUUCUUUUCUCCUUCUGCAAUACCUGUUUAUUUUUGUCUCUCGAUUUUCGAUAUGUUUUAACUAUGUGUUUUAUUAUAUUUGUGAUAAAUUUAGGCAUACUAAUGGUGGUAACAAGGGACUGAAAUGUGUGGAUGGAGGAGGAAGAUCAUCUGUCUUGCUUGGGGAGUUGCAGAAAGAAGUUUACGGAGCAAACAAGAGUAGUAGUAGUACAAGUGGGUCAAAGAAGUUCAGCUGGUCAAAGCUGACCUGGAAGUCAUCGGACCAGGAUGAGUGUGCAGUCUGCCUGGAGAGGCUCAGGCCAGGUGAGACCCUGGUGCACCUGCCCUGUGCCCAUAGGUUCCACUCUGGUUGCAUGGUUCCAUGGCUUCACAACAAUGCCCAUUGCCCCUGUUGCAGAAUGGAGAUUAUCUCCUAGUAAUUGUAUUGGUAAUUUGGUAAAUGCAAAUUGUAAAAUAUAGAUUGAGCUUGCAGUUGCAGUUGUAGAGUUGGUUUGAAGUUUGAACAAUUAACUUUGUGGUGCUAAUUGUUUGGUUACAAUAUGUUUUUGUUAAAGUGAAUAGUUGCCAAGUAGUCUUUGUGUGAGUAGAUAGUUUAUGCAAAUUUGUGGGAGAUUAUAAUUCCACACAUUAAUCUUGAUGUAGGACAAGAUAUGGGUCAAUUCCGACGAAAAAAUAUCAAGAAAAUAAAAUGUUUUAGAGUUUGGAAAGAAGAAUUAAAGUUGGGCUAUAUCAGAUUUAAUUAACAUCGCGACAGAAAAAGUAACAAGAAAUAUUAUCGUGCUAGAAUUGAGAGUAAUAUGUCCUUUUUGAAGAGAAUGCAAGAAGAACAAGACUCAUGGUUAUAAUAUGAGCCCGUCAUGUUUACGGCCAUUCGAGGUUGUUUAAACUCCCAAAACAACAUUUUUAAAGUCUAAUAAAACAACCUUUCAUGUCGUUUAAUUUACUAAGACCCUGAGCUUCCCGAGGGGUUGUGUUUGUGUCUUUUUAAGUCGUUUGGCUCCUAAUGUAAUGUAUCAAUUCAAAAAAUAAUCAAACAACCUUUCGAUUUUAUCCAUCUAUGAUGGAUUCCAAAAACCUUGGUUCUUCAAGAUUUACGUUUGUAAUCCUUAUAUGCUCGUGUUGCGUCAAAUCUCUUCCACAUCUUUCGGGAAAAUGCUUGACUAGUUAUAUGUAGCGUUUCUCAUAACAAACAAAUCUCAAUCUGACUUUUAUAAACGAACUUUUUCAGUUUUUAUUUUUGCAAGUCACUUUAGUAUAUGUGAUAGUCUACAUAAGGAAUAACUCUUUAAUUAUUGUAAAGAGUUAAACAUUAUUCCAAAAUUCUCAAUGAUUUCCAAAUUAUUGAACCAACAUGUGAUCUCCAAUACAAAAUUUUAAGAGGUGCAAUCCCUUUUGUGAAUGAAUGUAAUUGCACUACAUAUCACUAUCCAUCCAUCCAACCUCCCCACCUUGAAAUUGAAUAUCAGAUGAGAGAAAAGGCUCCACUCAUGUGACGGGUGGGACAAGAACAGGUGAAUUAUAGGACAGUCUUUGCUGUCUUGGUCGACCUUUCUCUUGUUUAGUGGAAAUCAUUUGUUCUUGCACUAAUCAAAUGUUAAUACCAAUCUUCGCUUCCAAUUAAGGGAGAUCAUGGUGAGAUCAUAACAACUUAAGUCGCGAAAAAGAUGGGCAGUAGUGGAUCCAUGAGUUUUUCGUUAAUAAGUGAGGUCAUAAAAGUUUGGUGCGGUGUUCUUACUUAAGUAUUUUUUUGGUGGGUUUUUUUGGUGCGGUGUCGCUUGAGCCUUCAGAGACUGAGGAACGAGGAUGGAAAUUGAGUGACGUGAGUGAAUUUGGGUGAAAUAGAGGAUAAGGGAAGCGUACUGAAUGGGACACAAACGCAAACCUAAGAAUAGAAAAGCUAGAAUUCACUAGAGAUUGGGAUAAACCCGAAAGAUUUUUUGUUCAUUUAUGAAUCAAUACAUUACACUGGGAGCCAAAUGGCUUAAAUAGACUUAAUUUGACUUUGGGAAGUUCGUAUCAAACCUUGUGAAGUUCAUAGAAAGUCUAAUGAAAUACAAAAAUAUUGAUUAGAUUGAAAAAUGAAAAGUCUGAUUUUAUUACCAACUUUAAAAUGCUGUUUUGGAAGCUGAAACGACAUCAGAUGGUUAAAAUCUGUUAAGGAAUUUUCAAACCUUGUGAAGUUCAUAUCUUGUCCUACAUCAAGGUUUUGGAUAAAAAUAAGAUUUGCAGCCUUGCUUCAUCCUGUUUUGUUUAGCUGUUGAGUUGGCAAAAUCCGAGUCAUUUUCAUUAAACAAGUUUGCCAUAAAAAUGGAGUAACAAGUUAAGACUAAACCAGAUAAAAGAUUCGGUUCUCUCAAACAAGACCGAAAAAAUAUCAAUAAAAUAUAUUCUAUGCUUUGAAGGUGGAAUGUCAUUUUCUCCUAUAAAAAUGAAGCAUGCUAACUUGGAUUUUAUCCUAAUUUGGGUAAAAUCUUCUUCUUUUCCUACCCUAAUCCUUGUUUUUGUGUCACGACUGGCUAGCUGGAGGUCACUAAAGAAUGGACCCAAUUUAGCUAAUUUAUCUUUGUCUUGAUUAUAUAGAUGGAUAAAUGAUUAGGCAAGGAUUGAUAAACUUUGAUUAAUUAUUCGUUGAUUGAUUGGAGUGACGCAAGAGUCCAAAACUUUUCAAAGUUUUCAAUGUGAUGUGUGACUAAGACAUAACUCGGAAAGGAUGAGCGGCACGAAUAAGGUUUCUUUAUGUCCAAUCAAGACAAUGUCGCGAUCGAAAUUGAGCCGAAAUUACAAGCAGUAUAAAUUUUGAAAAUUAUACAAGUUUUACAGUGUAGGGUUACUAUGUGAAGAAAAAAAAACCACGCUUUUAUAAAACUUUAUUUUUCAGCCCACUCCAGUUUACUGUUUUGUAUUCCUUCAAGUUUUAGUACAUAUUUCCUGGUGCGACAAGAGUUUGUGGCGGUUUUGACGAUCUUGACACAAUGUGGGAAUUCAUAUUUUUUUAUUUUAUAUAUAUCCAUCUUGUGUGGGAUGAGAAUUUAGUCUUACUUCUUGACCAUUUAUCUAUGCUCUGACACUCUCGUAUGUAUAAAUAGGUUCAUAAAAGAAAAUCAAUAAAAAAUAAAAAUAAAAAUAAAAACUUUUGCCAAGGGGAAGGCAGCGAACGACGCCGUUCGGUGGACCAAUUAUUUUCAUUAUUUUGGCACCUUUGCGAAUUUUACCAUUUUAGACUCUUCCCGCAACGGCUAGUUUCCUAGUGACCGUUUUCCCGUCUCCCAAAUUUCAAAUCUGCAAUCGACCUUCAACCCACCAUUAAUCUUCUUCACAUACCGCAACUCCCAGAAAUCUCCUUUCACUUUUCGAAAAACACCCGCAAAACCAAAUCCAAAUCCAAGGCUCUGGCAACUUGUCGAAUUCGAUCUCCGUUAAACCCACUUGGCAAUUCAAAUCAAGGACCCAGAAUUUCAAAAAUGGUAUAUUCAUACGCGCCCGCGUACUACUCCACAAUCCACGACUCCAUGACCUCCCUGUGCAAGUCCAUUCUUCCCUUCAGCUUCAAGAAGCGGCGGUUGCCUGCGGCGGAGCAGAGGCUUUCGAAGCUGCAGUCGGAUAACCUCAAGUGGCAGCAGGACUCUUUCCACCAGAUUCUGAACUUGAUGGGUCUUCACAAAGAAGGCAUCUUGGCUGAGACCGAGGUGUCCGCUUUCCGAUUGCAUUUGCUCGAAACCCUCAUUGCCUCUCAGGUGGCGGAGCACGAACAGCCGGUUAUUCUGAGAGACAAGUUGCUGUUCUUGCAGGUAAAAUGCCAGUCUGCAAUCUCAACUCUUUCCUUUUUUUUUUCAUUUCGAUUGGAUUUUCUUUCUUGGUUUUCUGAGUAACCAAGCAAUGUUUAGGAGCUCUUGUAUGCGAAAUGCAUAUCGGAAGACGAGUACCAUUCUUCGAAAAGGCCGUUGCUGCAGCGAUUAGAGGCACAGGGAGCUGAGAUCGAGGCCAAAGAUAUAAUCGCUUCAGGGUCGCUGCCAGCGAAGGAUCCGAAAGAGAAUACAGAUCAAGAGCAGUGGUCGGAAAUUGACUUGAAGGAUGAGAAAUGCUUGCUAACGAAAGAUAAAGAGGGUUUGAAUUCGAAGAACAAAUCGAAACACAGCUCGGCAGUGAAACAAAUCAAAGGGGCAGCUUCGGUGUUGGGAUUUGUAUCACCUUACAAACAUGGGAAAAACAGGGGAGAAAAGAGCAUAUUCGAUUUGCCUGAUUCGUCAAAAUUCUCUUCUUCCAGCUCUUCUAAGCAUCAAGCAGGAGAUCAAUCGUCGAUUCUUAUGCCGGAAAGCUUGCCACAGGUGCCGGUGAAAGAGAACGGCAGCGCAGAUCGAACAAGGAGGAAACCGUUUAGGAGUCUGUUUCAGAGAGAACAGAAAGAGGGUCAGGGGGAUCAUGCCCACGAAAAUGAACAAACACCUUCGAAAUCGGCCAAAAAGCAAUGGGGUUUUGAUGGAUUCAAGAAAUGGAAGAGGAAUGAGUCGGAGGACGAGACAACUCCGCUGCCGCUAAACGAACGAUCGGAUAGUGAGGCUCACUUGAAGCUUGUUCCAAUCCCCAUGGGUGAAGGGCCAGACACUAAGCUCAUAAAAAGGAGGCUGCUUUCGGAUGGUUCUCCUUCCGAUUUCUUCAUUGACAAGGUUCAAAACCGUAUGAUUUAAUUUCGUAAUUUGCUGGCUUAUAUUUGAAGCAUGAUCCGAAAUUGAAGGUUGUUUUUUUUCUUAUUUUUGUAUGAUCUGAAGGUUUUAGGGGAGAAGAUAAAGAAGGAGCUGUCAAGAAUUCAGUCAGAGCUUUGCGCUUCAAAUCCAAAUCUUCGAUUUACGUAAGCCUUUUGAUGAGUCUUUCUUACAUAUACAUUGGUAUCGAAAAGCAAUCUUUUUGUAUCGAAAACAUACGAGUUUGAUUCUUGUGAUUUGCUCAGGAAUGAACAAAUUGAAGCUAUUUCGACCAGGCUUCCGGUGGACAAGGCUGAUCUGAAGAAGUUCUUUCCCAAGUGAGCAAAUCUUCUCUAACUAAAACCACCGCCCCCUUGUACUUUCUCUCUUAUUUUUCAUUGGAUUUUUGUUUCGUUUUCAGGUCGUGGUGCGAUCGGUAUGGAGAAGUUGUUCUGGACGUGGUGAGGAAAGAGUUCAAGGAGCAUGUUGGGGAGAUGGAGAGCUUGAGAAAUGCGGCAAGAGAGAAACACGGUAUCCACUCAGCGCGAUGGACUGCAUUCCAAGAUGACGAGGAGAAUUGUCACCCGAAUCUCUUUGCUCCGCCGCGAGACAACAACCACAAUUAUACUUCAAAGUUCCAUGAAACCAAUCCGUUCUGUGAUGAUCACAUUCACACCACCCCUAGGAAGCUGAGAUCGAAACCGGCAACUUAUACACAAGAGCAGAACCAGAACCAGAAUCCCUUUUGGAUCCCGGGCACGGCUACUAAUGCGUUUUCGUUGAGUAGCUGCUUAAUAUGUAUUUUGAUUGAGAGAUCGCUUGAUAUGUUGUAUGAACUUUGAGAGAAGAACGCUGUUCUUCCAAGCAUUCAAACUUUAUGUUUGAUUUGUAAAUGUAGGCAAUGUAUUAUCUCCUUCAAUGUUUCGGAACUCGAUUCGCUCCUUGAUUUUUAUUUUCUUAGUUCUUCUCACUCACUAUUUGAAAUCCUCUAAAGGGCCUUCAUGCAAAUAUCCAACACGCGUGUAAUACAAGAAACAAAUCAAUCGAAACAUACGACAUGAUCAUCAGGAGUUGGGGUUACUUGCGAUGCAGGUAAAGUGGUCGAAUUGGAUUGGAAAUCAAGUUAAAAAUCGCAAAUUCGGCAGCAAGAGGAAUUUUUUGCAGACACCUGAACCCCGAGUCGUCCUAACCAGAGACUAUACCUUGACAACAAAACUAGCAAGAUUUAUUCAAGACAUUCAAGUAAAGGCAAAGGAAUCUGCAAGCUUUUGAGCAAAAUGGAAGGUCCGUUACCAAUAAUUCCAGCAAGAAACCCACUAUGUGAAAAAGAUAAAAGAAAAAGCAGAUAACGCUUCACCCCAGUCGUGAAAAGCAAUCAUGCUUAUACACCUUGGGGCGGAUUAAAAGAACUUUACAACAUUACAAAGAACUUAAAGACAUUAUAGCUAUCCUUGGGUUUCAAUCCCUAAAGAACUUCAAGACGUUAUAGCUAUCCUUGGGUUUCAAUGCUCACUGGUCCCCUCGCUCUUAACAAUUAACAAUCUAACUUACUAACGCUAUCGUUUGUCUAAAAAUAAAAGCCAAAAAUACAUAACCAAAAAACACACUAUAAGAUCCCACAUCGCCCACACAGUGAUCCUUAAAUGUAUAUUCUCAUCCCUAUCUAGCACGAGACAUUUUGGGAGCUCACUAGAUUCGGGUUCCGUAGGAACUCCAAAGUUAAGCGAGAAGGAAGCUAGAGCACUCCCAGGAUGGGUGACUCACUGGGAAGUUGCUCGUGUGUUCCCAGAAGGCGUGGUCGGGACCCAAAGCGGACAAUAUCGUACUACGGUGGUGGAGCGGACCUAGGAAGUGGUCCGCCCCGGGCCGGGAUGUGACAAACACCAAGGUAAAAAGGGAAAAUACUGAAAGAAAAAAAAACGAAAAUCCCAGGGUUUGCUAUGUUUGAAGCCUCUUUGUUGAGAUGAAGAUGCCAAUUCAUGCACAUUGAUAUGUAAGUAUCUCGUUCUUUCAAUCACUAUAAAUCCGCAUCAAGGACGGCAGACGCUACAAUAUCGUGGAUUUCGGAAAAAUUCAGAUACAAGUCAGUCUUGGGGGACCAAAACAUGUCCUGGUAGAUGCGAAGAACCAUCUUUAACUAUAUACAUUACUGUGUAGUAUGUACAAUUAAAUCAAAGAGAAGAUAUCUCCGAGUUAGGGACAGAACAGUCGGUGAAACCCUCACGAACAUCUCCUCGGCAAAGCGGGCAAACUCUGUAAGCAGGAAUGAACAGAGAGAAUUUCGGUGAGAAAAAAUACAUGGGGAAAUGAAGGACAAUCAUGAAGGGGGGAAAAACAGAGGAUGGCAAUGACAAUACCCGUGUAUCUCUUUGAGCCACUUAUCAACGCAUGACAUGUGAUACUCGUGAUGGCAGGGAAGAACUCGAAUUUUGUCUCCUUCCUCAUACUCAGCGAGGCAUAUGUAACACCUAUCAAUUAUUAACUCACCAUGAUCAAACAAAUUCAUUAUGCUCCCUACUGAUGAAAUCAUUUAAGUAAAACUUACUGUUCAACAUCAUCCCCGGACUUUGGUUUGUCAACCUUUGUGUGACUUUUAAGAGGAAAACCAUCAACAAGAGAUGCUGGGGCAGGAGCUGAGACCAUCGACAGUGAAAGUGACACAGGUUGGCGGUGAAUCUCAUCCAAAACCUGCACAUCGCACAUUACAACAAAAUUAGGUUUGAUACAUUCAUAAGGUACACAGUAAUCUGUUGUGUAAUAUCUGCCCCUAAGCUUAACCGUCAAACAUAGAUAAAAACUGCGCAAACCAUAUCACAGCCGUUCAACCUAGAUUGGUAAACAUGCAGCCAAAGCCCUCAAAGAGACCUCAAGAAGAAGAAUAUACUAAAAUCAUCGCUGAUUUAAUUACGUUGCUUAAAUACCCUCCUAACUUAAGACAUAUGCAAGAGUGCAGAAAGAAAAUUACCUCAAAUAGAGCUUCGGCGAGCAUGACAAUUCUUGAUAUACUUGCCCGAGUACUAGACUCUUCAGCCAUCAAGAAUGAGCCACAUGAGCACAUGCCACGAGGGUGGAUUCCUGUGGGACAAGAGGUAUUACGCUGGCCAUUAUCAUCAAGGCCAACACGAAGUCUUUCCCAGACCUACAAAGAGUCAUGCAGAUGCAAAUCAAUGAAAAUUACUAGUGGGACCCCAAAAAAUAAAGCUGCUAUAGUUUACGGAUUUCUCCGGCCCGUAAAACAUCUGGAUAUAACACUUCAUAAAGUAUAAAAGAACCUUUGAUGAAUGAUAUAUUUGUAAACCAUGUAAAUGAACAUACACAUAUACAAAAUACAGUUAAGCCCCCAUACUCUCGCAAAUGAAAAAACUCAAUUUUAAGAUCCAAGUUAAGCCACGUGACUGAAACAUCAUAAUAUUUUUUAAUGUUAAAAUCUAUCACCUCAGAUCUAGAAUGUCGCCGUCGUUCACUCGAGUUGGGAAUUCUAUUAGCCCGGUGACCAGAAUCAACUCCAAUUUCAUCAUCAAAGAAAUCACCACUCAAACCAAGCAGCCAUCUGUCAUGAAAUCCCAUAUCCUCGGUAUCAUCAGUAGAGAAAAGAAUGGUUGGUGAAUCAAUAAACCUCCUGGAGCUGCGCCUUGAAAAUGCAUCCCAGAACAGUCGCCUGCCAUUCCUUCUAGCCUCACGAUUACUUGCAUCAGCAUUGCUACUCCUCAAAAAGUUGGAAGAAAUGCUCAUAACAUCAACAUGAAGUACACUUCCAUCUUCCUGGCCUUGUUCCCUAUUGGACACAAGGAAUCCUAAACCAGAAGGUAUUGCCUCCCGAAGGGAAUCAUUUCCAAGUGAGUCGAAAGUCGACGGAGUUUCAGAAACAUUAGCAGAAUCAGUAUCAGCAUUAAAACCCUGUACACCCCUUACGUCAGCCACAUGAUUCUCAACAGACACUUCCUGAGAACGGGAAUUCCGAAUCCCUUGUGGAGAUGAGCUACUUGGAAGCAUAACCUCGGGACAGGUCUCAGAUACAUUCUUGUCUGCUGAAAUGUCAAUGCCAUUGACUGAAUCCACAUUAGCAGAACCAUUCAAAGAGACUGUUUCUGAAGAUUGUUCUUGUCUAAACGAAGUACUAGCGGUAGUACUAUUAUCCCUACAAGAUUGAUCAUGACUAUAAUCGGCACUUACCUGAUGAGGUAUUAGUUCUUUACUUUUGGACAAGCACUUCCCCCGGUUAAUUGUGUCAACACUGCUUAAUCCUUCUUCAACAGUGCUCUCAGAUGAUGAUCCAAUUUCAAUAAUGGGGCAGGUGAACAGUGGUCCACUACUGGAGACCAACGAGGAUCCUUCUCCAGAGUUCCGGACUUGAUUGAUAUCAAGAUCAGAUUGCUCUGCAUAUUUUACACGACACUCAGGUGCGUGAUCUUCCAUCUGCAGGAAAAGUACUGAAGCAAAUCAGUCUCCUUAUGCAAUCUAUAUGACUAUAACUACCAAGUACAAAAUGAUUCACGAAAUUUGAAGGGUAUUGGUAGAAAAGGUCAAAAAACACUAUCAAGGCAUGAAGCAAAUCAGUCUCCAUAUGCAAGCUAUAUGACCAUAACUACCAGGUACAAAAUGAUUCACGAAAUUUGAAGGGUAUUGGUAGAAAAGGUCAAAAUACACUAUCAAGGCAUGAAGCAAAUCCGUCUCCUUAUGCAAUCUAUAUGACUAUAACUACCAGGUACAAAAUGAUUCACGAAAUUUGAAGGGUAUUGGUAGAAAAGGUCAAAAUACACUAUCAAGGCAUGAAGCAAAUCAGUCUCCUUAUGUAAUCUAUAUGACUAUAACUACCAAGUACAAAAUGAUUCACGAAAUUUGUAGGGUAUUGGUAGAAAAGGUCAAAAUACACUAUCAAGGCAUCAAUACAACUACGUAACACCACAGUUCUUUGGCCACCAAAAAAGGUAUUAAACUUACGUUUCUAUACUGUCCAUCAUAAGAGAUGUGCAUUUACUCCCAAAUGAACACAAGUAACACAAGAAUAAAUAACUUCAGUUAUACGCUAAAUAGACUAAUGCUAGGUAUCUCAACUUCAAACCAACACCAAGCAAAAUUUCUGCUUCAUGACUUCAUGGAAAUAAUAUAUUGAGGUUGUCAUCACAAGUGCAUCGCAAAGCACUAAAUAAAAACAACUGCAAUCAUUUGAUAUCUAAUUACAUGCCUCUACUUCUCCAGAAGAUUCCUAAUACGUUCGUCAUGAGGACUCCCAUGAACAAUAAUAGACUUGCACACAAUUAUAUACUUAUAUUCUAGCAAAAUAUCUUUACUCAUCCAAACUUUUCUAAAUCUUCCCUAUCUCCCGAGAAUGGGGGCAUAUAUACACAGAAACAUUUUUACCAACCACUUCACACUACUACAUCAGCAGCAUGAUUGAUUCCCAGCUCAAGAACAUAAGUUGCGCUAAAGACUACGUGAUCAUUUAUCCGCACCAUUAAGAACCUUGACCUUCAAGUUCUACGAUCGUAAUCAAACUUUCUCCAACCAUUUCCCUGAGCAUCCUACCAACCACUCAUCGGGGAUCAUCAUUAAAGUUCAUAUUCAAAAACACUAAAAAAUCAAACAACAUAGUUCAGACCCCGAAAACAAAGUUAAAUCCUUUUUCCUCAUUCACGAUUGUUAUACUGGACUUGAACAAAUGUAUACAUUAAAACAAACAUAACUCGAACUGUCAAUUCAAUGUCCCCAUUAAUUAAAUCCCCAAACUUUUUUCAACAACACGGUCGCAUAAUUAGCAGUUUUAAAAUAUGAAUACAAUAUUCACAAUUGCAGGGAAAUUAUAACGAAAAUUCAAAGUAACUGAGUCAUUAUGAUAUUACCGAGCACAGGGCCAAUCUUCUGCAUCAGCUGGACAAAUCCCAUAGAUUUUUAUUGGAUUGUAACUUGAAUUGAGGAAAAUCAAACCCCCAAGAAAAUUAAUUUAAUGAAAAAAGCUUAAAAUUCUUCUAAUUUGCACCAAAUGAUCAAAUCCCAAAUCAUCCAAAACCAGUAAAAAUCGAAUUUUGCAUCAAAAAAUGUAAAAAGUAUGAGAAAUCCAAAAAUGGGCAUUGACGAUUGAAUUGAAGGCAUCGAUUUUAGUGGAGGACGAUGAAGAAGAAGAAGAAAAGGGUACCUCGUGAGUAGCACGUGCAGAGGAGCCACCACAGACGAAAGAGGAGAGUAUGGAACGACUGGCGGUGCGAUUGACUCGGGGCCGAGAUGGGCGCGAGCCCAGUCGACUGCUGCUCGAACCCAUUUGAGAGAGAGAGAGAGGAAGGAGAGAGAGAGAGAGAGAGAGAGAGAGAGAGAGCGCUUCAGAGAUGGUGAUGAAUGAUGAUAAUUGAAGCAAACCGGCUGAGAGAGAGAGAGCUUUCCAUUUUUCCUUUUUUAUUUCAAAUUCAAUUUUCAUUGUGAACUAAUGGUUUCUACAGUGGACCAGGCUUGACCGACCCAUCAAAUAUAUGGGUCUGGAUCAUCAAGUUUCGGCCCAAUGUAUUCAGUAAAAAACAAAGCUAAGAGCAACUCCAUAUUUAAAAAAUGAGAUGACUCAAAGUCCAUUUAAUCCACCAAAAUGAAUAGUAAUUGACUUUAAUGAACAAUAAUUGUCCAAGUGCAUCAAUUCCUAAAAAAUGAGCUGGGUAAGAGUUUAGUCAAUUCGUAUUAAAAUAUUAUUAAUUUUUUUUAUAAAAAAUUAAAAAAUAAUUUUAUUUUUAAUUUCGGAUAGAAUUUUUAACCUCUUGUCACGUUACGUGUCAUUUUCCGAAAGUACAAUUUUUGUGAAAGAUGGUUAGGUAUAUAUAUAUAUGUAUAUAAUCUUUUAUUUUUUUCUGUAUUUUUAAACAAAUUUUUAUAAUUUUUUAUUAAGUUAAUUAAUCUGGAUCAUUGGAUUUCAAAAAAUAAAAAAAUCCAAUAGCCUAAAAAUGGACAUGUGACCCAUGGUAAGAUUCUGAUAUUUUUUUUAAUGCUGGAACGCACACCUACGCAAGCGUGUAUCCCACGGGCCAACAGCAAAAAAAAAAAUUCACAUGGCUGACGUCAGCUUGGCCUCAUGUAGGCCGGUCUAUUGCUCAGUCCAUUAUGUGUUGGGCUCAAAGGUGGCCUCCACUUUGGGCCAACCUAUUGGGUGGGGUGAAGUUGGUUUUUUUUUUUUUUGGGGGGGGGGGGGCAGCCUAAAAAUUAGACUUUGAGCUAGCACAUUUGUUAGGGAUGAAAUGCUCUAAUAGAAAAAAUGUUAGGCUUAUCAUAUUUUUAAUAUUUCAUGUGUAUAACAUUUUUAAUAAAUAUGGGAUCUACAGUGUUAUUUGCACACUAAUUUUUAUCUCUCACAUAUUCUUGUUAAUUUUUAUUGACUCAUCUUCUUCAAUUCAUAUUGUCGACCGAAAAUUAAGAGGAGUGCGUGAGAAGAAAAAUGAGUGUGUAGAUAACGCUAUUGUAUAAAAAAUUUGAUAAAUAUAGUAUUUACUCUUAUGAUAGAGAUAGGGUUACGUGUUUGGUAUAUAUACGAGUACAAUGAAGCCAUGACAUUUGUAGUGGUGAUUGGUUACAUUGGUAUACUUGAGAUGUGAGGCAAAUUUAUUACCAUCACAAAGAUAAUUAUGAAACUUAUGGGCCUUCUAUUUUACUAAAAAUUGACCUCCAUCGUCCAUAUAUGAAACUUAAACUUGGAGAAAGAUCGUAUACGUUUUAUGAAAGGUUUUUUUAUCUGACAUGGAAUGAGAUAUGGUUUUCUUAACUAAGAUGUGAAAGACAAAAUUAUUCCCAUCACAAAGAUAAUUAUGGAACAUGGGCCUUAUAUUCUACUAAAAUUUGACAUAUUAACUACAUUUUACUAGAAAGAUGUACAUAAAGUUAUACCCAUUUUGGGAAAGUUAUCUAAUUUGACAGAGAAAAUCGAUAAUUUCAAAUGUGUCAAGACGUGUGAUUAUCUCUGUUUAAUUAUAAAUUGGAGGUAGAGAAAAAUGGCAGCACUUUAAUUGUAGUGUGUUUGAAUAGUUGAUCAAGGUAUCGGCAGAGAAAUAUCGAGUUGAAUUGUAGGUAUUCAACUACCAGCAAGACAACCAUGGAUCCAUGGGUGUGACUAGCAGUUGGUGCAUAUGAUGGACACGUUUUACCACUAACAGACGAAACACCAUGUCUGUAUCUACAUAGCUUUCUAUCCUUUCUCCACGUACUUCUGCACCCCAUUAACAAAAAGGCAAAUUAAAAUAUAUUAUACAAAAGUAGACCUAACUUUAAUGCUUUAUCCACUCCUAUAAAAUCUACAUAAUCGUCGAGUUCCAACACACUUCAGAACAAUAUAUCCACUUAUAGUUGCAGGGAACUAAGAAAAAAAAGAAGAUCGACUGAGAAACAUGCCUGACCAUCCACCACCACCACCGGGCCAUGAUCACGGACCCCCUCAUCCUGAGCCUCCUCCGCCGCACGCCCAUGCUCCUCCUCCUCCUCAGCCGGGCGGUGGACCUCACGCACCUCCCCCUGGCCCUCCUGAACCACACAAGCCACAUCAUGAUCCCCAUCAUGGUCCCCAUCAUGGUCCUGGUCAUCACCACCCAUGAAUCAUCAUUCAUCGUAUGAUGAAUAUAUACAUGCUUGCAUGCAUGUAUGUAGAUGUAUGGUGUACGUUGUGAUGUAAUUUCUAGUUUUAACUAAGUCGGUGAGUCCUCUCAUGAUCAUGCAGUUUUAAUGAAUGAUGACUUCGUGUACCCAAAAAGUAUGCAUGAUUAUGUAAAUUAAUAAGAUCGGUUUGUGGUUUUAAUUUCCUCUUAAUUAAUUAGUUAAUUUGGUACGCACUGAGCUGCUGAUCAAAGUGUGGUUUAAGAUGCAAAAUUUCCAUUCCUUUCAUGUUUUAAUUAAGAUGCAAAUCUAAUUACAAACAAAUACGCUGCAACUAACUAAAAACCCUACGUGCAGCAGGCCAUGGAUAAUUUUUGGUCUUUAAUUCGAUCUUUUACUUUAGAUAAAUGUCUAAUUUAAUUGCUGCAAAAGCUAGCUUCUGAAGUAUGAUCAGUGUUAAGAAACAAAUAAAAUUAAGAUAUAUAUCAUCAUUAUAAUUAAAUUUUCUGAUGUAGGAGAACAAAUGAAAUAUGCGUAUAUUGUCGGUGCGUAAUCCGCACUAAUAAUACAACGUUAAAUAAAAAUAUGUAUGUAUUAUUGUAUUAUACAAAUGUAAUGCCACAGUAAGGUUAUUUCCAACCGAAUGAGGGCCAAAAUGCUAUCUUUAGCUCUAUAGUCUUGCAAGAAAUUAUAUUUUAAUGAAUAGUGCUAUGCUAUAUUUUAUACAUCUCAAACU
rnacentral:lncRNA from 1 species